AGAGUUUGAUCCUGGCUCAGGAUGAACGCUAGCUACAGGCUUAACACAUGCAAGUCGAGGGGAAACGACAUCGAAAGCUUGCUUUUGAUGGGCGUCGACCGGCGCACGGGUGAGUAACGCGUAUCCAACCUGCCCACCACUUGGGGAUAACCUUGCGAAAGUAAGACUAAUACCCAAUGAUAUCUCUAGAAGACAUCUGAAAGAGAUUAAAGAUUUAUCGGUGAUGGAUGGGGAUGCGUCUGAUUAGCUUGUUGGCGGGGUAACGGCCCACCAAGGCGACGAUCAGUAGGGGUUCUGAGAGGAAGGUCCCCCACAUUGGAACUGAGACACGGUCCAAACUCCUAAGGGAGCUGCA
rnacentral:rRNA from 1 species